rnacentral:rRNA from 1 species
GGGGAUCUGCCGAAUGGAGGGGGACAACAGUUGGAAACGACUGCUAAUACCGCAUAAUGUCGCGAGACCAAAGCAUGGGACCUUAGGGCCAUGCGCCAUUUGAUGAACCCAUAUGGGAUUAGCUAGUAGGUGAGGUAAUGGCUCACCUAGGCGACGAUCUCUAGCUGGUCUGAGAGGAUGACCAGCCACACUGGGACUGAGACACGGCCCAGACUCCUACGGGAGGCAGCAGUGGGGAAUAUUGCACAAUGGGGGAAACCCUGAUGCAGCCAUGCCGCGUGUAUGAAGAAGGCCUUCGGGUUGUAAAGUACUUUCGGUAGCGAGGAAGGGGUUAUAUCUAAUAGGUGUAACCAUUGACGUUAACUACAGAARAAGCACCGGCUAACUCCGUGCCAGCAGCCGCGGUAAUACGGAGGGUGCGAGCGU